rnacentral:rRNA from 2 species
CAAGUUGAGAGUUUGAUCCUGGCUCAGAACGAACGCUGGCGGCAGGCCUAACACAUGCAAGUCGAACGAGAAGCUUUUCUUCGGAAUAGUGGAAAGUGGCAGACGGGUGAGUAACGCGUGGGAAUCUACCCAAUGGUACGGAAUAACGCAGGGAAACUUGUGCUAAUACCGUAUAAGCCCCUCGGGGGAAAGAUUUAUCGCCAUUGGAUGAGCCCGCGUCAGAUUAGCUAGUUGGUAAGGUAAUGGCUUACCAAGGCUCCGAUCUGUAGCUGGUCUGAGAGGAUGAUCAGCCACACUGGGACUGAGACACGGCCCAGACUCCUACGGGAGGCAGCAGUGGGGAAUAUUGGACAAUGGGCGAAAG